rnacentral:rRNA from 1 species
CCGCGGUAAUACCGGCGGCUCGAGUGGUGGCCGYUUUUAUUGGGCUUAAAGCGUUCGUAGCUGGGUUGUUAAGUCUCUUGGGAAAUCUGGCGGCUUAACCGUCAGGCGUCUAAGGGAUACUGGCAAUCUUGGAACCGGGAGAGGUGAGGGGUACUUCGGGGGUAGGGGUGAAAUCCUGUAAUCCUCGAGGGACCACCUGUGGCGAAGGCGCCUCACCAGAACGGCUUCGACAGUGAGGGACGAAAGCUGGGGGAGCAAACCGGAUUAGAUACCCGGGUAGUCCCAGCCGUAAACUAUGCGCGUUAGGUGUAUCGGUGACCACGAGUUAC